UGUUGUUAAGGAACUCGGCAAAAUGACCCCGUAACUUAGGGAUAAGGGGUGCCACCAUCAGGUGGCCGCAGAGAAUAGGCCCAAGCGACUGUUUACCAAAAACAUAGGUUUCUGCUAAGUCGCAAGAUGAUGUAUAGGAGCUGACGCCUGCCCGGUGCUGGAAGGUUAAGGGGAUCUGUUAGAGCAAUCGAAGCAGUGAACUUAAGCCCCAGUAAACGGCGGCCGUAACUAUAACGGUCCUAAGGUAGCGAAAUUCCUUGUCGGGUAAGUUCCGACCCGCACGAAAGGC
rnacentral:rRNA from 1 species